rnacentral:lncRNA from 1 species
CAAUGGUGAAGAGCGCCUGAAGGGCAGAGGAGCAACAGCAGCAGGCUGUCACCUAGGCUGCAGGCUGCAGCGAUCAGGAAGCCCAGCCUGGAAGAAAGAGAAUAAUAAACUUUUGCAGACAUUGAAAGUGAGAAGGUCAAGGAGGGGAUUUAAGGCAAACUGUACUGUCUUUCCCUGGAUGCUCUGACUUUCAUCGCAACAUCUAACUCAGUAAUAAGAAAUAUAUGUGAAAUCACUAAAAAAGCAAAGUCAAGUUAGGAAAUUAAAAGACUCCUUAAGAAAAACAAAUGGACAAGGAUACUCACCAGGAAGCAAAAAGAAGAAGAAGAAGAAGAAGAAGAAGAAGAAGAAGAAGAAGAAGAAGAAGAAGAAGAAGAAGAAGAAGAAGAAGUAGCAGCAGCAGCAGCAGCAUUUUCAAGUAUAUGAAUGGUAACUGCUUAAGGAGUACCUGCAACAUCUUAAGGAGUACCUGCAACAUCUUAAGGAGUACCUGAAACAUCUUAAGGAGUACCUGCAACAUCUUAAGGAGUACCUGAAACAUCUUAAGGAGUACCUGCAACAUCUUAAGGAGUACCUGCAAACAAAAAUGAGUCAAUGAAAUGAUAAUUGAUAAGCUACUUUAUGAGCUUUGGAAGUGACAUAUACUCCACUCUCAGAACUUUUCUGUUUUUUCCAGAACAAGAAAAAAAUCCAGUGAUCACAAAUGGAUUCAAAAUACCAUGUGGAACAAGUCAGUAAUCCCAAAAAUUAGCAAAUUGAGGCCUGACAGGAAGAAGGCCAACAGAAGAACAAGACAGUGAAAUGAAUAUUCCUUGUGGCCCAUGGUACUGCUUCAUGGACUGUGUGUGUUUAGCAGUGCUCACUGACUCAGACCAUGGUCUCACUGACAUUGGAUAGUGUGUAAACCAUUACAGGAUUUCAUAAAGGAUUCACAGUGACAUCUCUGCCUUCAAGCCUAUCUAUCUAGUUAUUUUUCCCUCUGCCACUCUCAGUGCAUUCUUUCCCAAUCUGUCUGUGUUUCUUUAAGAUAUGAAUAAAUU